GAAAGGUAAGAGGCCAAACUACAUGAGAUGAGUAUUCACCCUACAGAAAGGUAAGAGGCCAAACUACAUGAGAUGAGUAUUCACCCCACAGAAAGGUAAGAGGCCAAACUACAUGAGAUGAGUAUUCACCCCACAGAAAGGUAAGAGGCCAAACUACAUGAGAUGAGUAUUCACCCUACAGAAAGGUAAGAGGCCAAACUACAUGAGAUGAGUAUUCACCCCACAGAAAGGUAAGAGGCCAAACUACAUGAGAUGAGUAUUCACCCCACAGAAAGGUAAGAGGCCAAACUACAUGAGAUGAGUAUUCACCCCACAGAAAGGUAAGAGGCCAAACUAUAUGAGAUGAGUAUUCACCCCACAGAAAGGUAAGAGGCCAAACUACAUGAGAUGAGUAUUCACCCCACAGAAAGGUAAGAGGCCAAACUACAUGAGAUGAGUAUUCACCCCACAGAAAGGUAAGAGGCCAAACUACAUGAGAUGAGUAUUCACCCCACAGAAAGGUAAGAUGCCAAACUACAUGAGAUGAGUAUUCACCCCACAGAAAGGUAAGAGGCCAAACUAUAUGAGAUGAGUAUUCACCCCACAGAAAGGUAAGAGGCCAAACUAUAUGAGAUGAGUAUUCACCCCACAGAAAGGUAAGAGACCAAACUACAUGAGAUGAGUAUUCACCCCACAGAAAGGUAAGAGGCCAAACUGCAUGAGAGGUAAUGGAGCUAUUAUAUGACUCACAGGAGGCUGCUGAGGGGAGGACAGCGAAUGGAAUAGCAUCAAACACAUGGAAACCAUGGAAACCAUGUGUUGGGUGUUUUUUAUUUUUUAUUUUAUUUCACCUUUAUUUAACCAGGUAGGCUAGUUGAGAACACGUUCUCAUUUACAACUGCGACCUGGCCAAGAUAAAGCAAACUGUGCGACACAAACAACAACACAGAGUUACACAUGGAAUAAACAAGCGUACAGUCAAUAACACAAUAGAAAAAAGCAAGUCUAUAUACAGUGUGUGCAAAUGGCGUGAGGAGGUAAGGCAAUAAAUAGGCCAUAGUAGCGAAAUAAUUACAAUUUAGCAGAUUAACAUUGUACUUGAUACCAUUCCACUUAUUCCACUCCAGCCAUCACCACGAGCCCAUCCUCCCUAAUUAAGGUGCCACCAACCUCCUGUGGUAAAAGUGCGUCAUUGUUGGACAGGGUUUCCCAGCUGGUGGCCCACGGGCCAUUUUAUUUGUCCCCCAAAGUUGAGUUAAAACUCCAGCAAAUCAGCUGGUUUUUCAUUUUGUAAACCUGUUAGAAAGUGUUUCCAUGCAUAAUAGAGAGAAAUAUAUUUAUGUGAUUGAAUACAAAUUUAAACCAGGUUUGAAAUGAUGAUUUAGUAAAAUAUUAUAUCUGUUUGGACUUCUUGCAGUCAAUUUGCAGUCUACAAAUUAUUUGUAAUUAUGUUCUGGCCCCCUGAUCAUCCCGUCAAGAAAAAAUUGGGCCCGUGGCUGAAUCUAGUUGAGGAUCCCUGUUGUAGGGAUGUGUUUACUUUUGAAUAGCCAGGUUUCCUUAUAGCCUAUUUGCAUCAGUUUGGGUCAUUAAAUACUAUUGUCCUCUUGUUUCGUGAAGAAACCACAAGAGUCCAAAAGAGUUAGAAUGUUUUCUCACACAGUAUGAAU